GAUCCUGGCUCAGAAUCAACGCUGGCGGCGUGCCUAACACAUGCAAGUCGAACGAGAAAGUGGAGCAAUCCAUGAGUAAAGUGGCGCACGGGUGAGUAACACGUGACUAACCUACCCUUGAGUGGGGGAUAACCUCGGGAAACCUUGGCUAAUACCGCAUAACACCUACGGGUCAAAGGAGCAAUUCGCUUAAGGAGGGGGUCGCGGCAGAUUAGUUAGUUGGCAGGGUAAUGGCCUACCAAGACAGUGAUCUGUAUCCGGCCUGAGAGGGCGCACGGACACACUGGAACUGAAACACGGUCCAGACUCCUACGGGAGGCAGCAGUGGGGAAUUUUGCGCAAUGGGGGAAACCCUGACGCAGCAACGCCGCGUGGAGGAUGAAGUCCCUUGGGACGUAAACUCCUUUCGACCGGGACGAUAAUGACGGUACCGGAAGAAGAAGCCCCGGCUAACUUCGUGCCAGCAGCCGCGGUAAUACGAGGGGGGGCGAGCGUUGUUCGGAAUUAUUGGGCGUAAAGGGUGCGUAGGCGGUUCGGUAAGUUUCGUGUGAAAUCUUCGGGCUCAACUCGAAGUCUGCACGAGAUACUGCCGGGCUUGAGUGUGGGAGAGGUGAGUGGAAUUUCCGGUGUAGCGGUGAAAUGCGUAGAUAUCGGAAGGAACACCUGUGGCGAAAGCGGCUCACUGGACCA
rnacentral:rRNA from 1 species